GGACGAACGCUGGCGGCGUGCCUAAUACAUGCAAGUCGAACGGUCUUUCUAUGGAAGCUUGCUUCCACUGAGAAGAUAGUGGCGAACGGGUGAGUAACACGUGGGUAACCUGCCCAUAAGAGGGGGAUAACAUCCGGAAACGGGUGCUAAUACCGCAUAGUUUCUUGAUUGCAUGAUCGGAAGGAAAGACGGCCUUUGUGCUGUCGCUUAUGGAUGGACCCGCGGCGUAUUAGUUAGUUGGUGAGGUAACGGCUCACCAAGACGAUGAUACGUAGCCGACCUGAGAGGGUGAUCGGCCACAUUGGGACUGAGACACGGCCCAAACUCCUACGGGAGGCAGCAGUAGGGAAUCUUCCGCAAUGGACGAAAGUCUGACGGAGCAACGCCGCGUGAGUGAAGAAAAGGUUUUCGGAUCGUAAAACUCUGUUGUCAGAGAAGAACAAGUUGGAGAGUAACUGCUCCAGCCUUGACGGUAUCUGACCAGAAAGCCACGGCUAACUACGUGCCAGCCGCGGC
rnacentral:rRNA from 1 species